rnacentral:rRNA from 1 species
AGUAACGACGUGAGGAACCUAGCCUUCCAGAGGGGGACGAACAGUUGGUAAACGACUGCUAAUACCGCAUGAUGUGUUUCGUAUGGCAUCAUCGAGACACCAAAGAUUUAUCGCUGGAAGAUGGCCUCGCGUCUGAUUAGCUAGUAGGCGGGGUAACAGCCCACCAAGGCGACGAUCAGUAGCCGGCCUGAGAGGGUGAACGGCCACAUUGGGACUGAGACACGGCCCAAACUCCUACGGGAGGCAGCAG